rnacentral:rRNA from 1 species
CACGUAGGGCGCAAGCGUUGUCCGGAAUUUAUUGGGCGUAAAGAGCUCGUAGGUGGUCUGUUGCGUCCGCUAUGAAAACUCGGGGCUUAACCCCGAGCCUGCAGUGGAUACGGGCAGACUAGAGGUAGGUAGGGGAGAAUGGAAUUCCUGGUGUAGCGGUGAAAUGCGCAGAUAUCAGGAGGAACACCGGUGGCGAAGGCGGUUCUCUGGGCCUUACCUGACACUGAGGAGCGAAAGCGUGGGGAGCGAACAGG